rnacentral:rRNA from 1 species
GACGGGGACCCGCACAAGCGGUGGAGCAUGUUCUUUAAUUCGAUGCAACACGAAGAACCUUACCUGGGAUUGACAUCCGUGGAACCGCUAUGAAAGUAGCGAGUGCUCACUUUGUGAGAACCACGUGACAGGUACUGCAUGGCUGUCGUCAGUUCGUGUCGUAAGAUGUUGGGUUAAGUCCCGUAACGAACGCAACCCCUGUCUUUAGUUGCCAGCAUUAAGUUGGGGACUCUAGAGAGACUGCCAAGGUGACAACUUGGAGGAAGGUGGGGAUGACGUCAAGUCCAUAUGGUCCUUACAUCCAGGGCGAGAAACGUGCUACAAUGGUUGGUACAAUGGGGAGCAAAAUCGCAAGAUUGAGCAAAUCCUCAAAACUAAUCUCAGUUCGGAUUGGAGUCUGCAACUCGACUCCAUGAAGUUGGAAUCGCUAGUAAUCGCGGAUCAGCAUGCCGCGGUGAAUACGUAUCCGGGUCUUGUACACACCGCCCGUCAAGUCAA